ensembl:snRNA U6 U6 spliceosomal RNA
AUGCUCACUUCAGCAGCACAUACACUAAAAUUGGAAUGAUACAGAGGUUAGCAUGGCUCCUUCAUAAGGUGACACACAAAUUUGUAAUAUGUUCAAAGAGAAA